AGGACAUUAGUUUUCCCAGUACUACUCUAUGAGGGGCAGGUAAGAGGUGUUGUGGACCACUGCGGGCUGGCUUUCCAAGGUCGUAGAAGUCCUUCCUACUGUUUGUGCAGAGUUGGUUAGUGUUGUCCCAUUUCCUUGCCUUUUCUUUUUUCCUCCUCCACUGCUUCCAUGCUCAGCCCUCCCCUCCCUUAUGUUGCUUUGUAUCUCAGCCAGCCUCUCAGAGUCCACAGUGAAUGUUACAAGAUCUUCCUUCCACAUUCUGGCAGUAUCCUGUGGAGGUUUUCUCUCCUGCUCUGGAGCCAGAAUAAGGCCCAAUAUCGAAGUGAGCCUUUGUUUAUCUUGAUGUUUGGGUCUGUGAAUUUGAGUUUGUCUGUUUGUUUGUUUGUUUUUGGCAACCCUGGUCAGUUUGUUUAGGACAUCUGUUCGACUUCGACUCUGUGUCGCGUCAUAUGAGAAUAUAGGGCAUAUUCUUGGCAGAGAUUACAGAAAGCAACUCUUUUAAUAAUGAUCCAUUGUGUGUGCUUUUGCAUUCUUUUAAAGGUCAUUUGUAUUUUUUUGUAAUUUAUGUUAAUAUCUGUGAGUACAGGGGAGACUGAGUGAUUAAUUUCUGACGUCCCAGUGAGAUUAGUGUUCAUCAUCAUCAGAUCCUAGUGGUUAGAAAAGGUUUACAGGGCCUGAGAAGGUGGACUUGUUUUCUGCUAAGGCAAGAGCUGCAAUGAGGAUUUUUUUUUGGAUUCUCCUAGCUCAGCUGUCCACCCAUCCACUUCUCUCAGUUUCAGUAUUCAGGCCUAGAAUGUAGCCCUUAAUACUUGCUUGACCCAUACUUCUUUGUCUCCUGAAAUCUGCAGGCUGGAGUCCAGGAAAACCCAUCCAAGGGAAGUUUUGGGCAGCCAUGAAAUGGUGGGGUCAUUCUGCAUCGUGGUGUGCCACAAUCUCUGUCUUAUUUGUACUGGGAGUGUGACUUCAUUCAGGCUAUUUGGUCUCCCUAGGUCUUCUUUCUGCCUAGUAAGUCCCUGUAGCAGUGUAACCAGGUCUAGGGCCAGGUAGAACAAGUAAAGCAUGCUUAGGAGUAGAGCUCAUUUGAGAUUCUCAAGGUGGUCUUAUUCCCCUGGUCCUGACACCCAGAGGUUUAUUUUGAAGGGGGGGGGGUCUGGCUGUUCAGGUUGCCUCCUCUUGCCAUAGGAGUUUUCUUUUUAGGUAAAGGAAAUGGGGGCACAUGGUUCUUUCCUAUUCCUAGGGGCUGACAGGGUCCUCCACUGAUUAGGCUAUUGGCUUAUGUGUGCUUCUACUUAGUCCUUGGGCCCCAUACCUCUUCUGUGUUCAGAGCAGAGCAGGGCAGGUAGAGGAGGAGAUGGAUCCCAAACAGUUGACUGAGGGCUGCUGUGCCACCUGAAAAGAAGCAGAGGUGAUGGUGAUGUGAUGACCCCAGUGGUGAAGUGGAUGUGGGGAGGAGCAGUUAGGGACUCUAGGCAGGGAGAACUUCAUGAGGAAUUUGGAGCAAGAAGGAUGGAGCAGCUAUGUCAGUUUGUAGGUAGAACCUGAGCCCAGCACGCACUGUGAAUGUUCUCCCGACCUACACCUUGGGUUUAUUCUUUGUACAUGUAGAGGCUUGUGAGACUGCGAAGAUGACAUGAGCCCCCAAGAAGGCCUGGUUUGAUAAACCUGUGUGUGUGGACAUCUUAGCAAGUUUACAGUUAACUUUGUGCCCACAUAACUAUUCAUUUGUUACAUAGAGUUCUGUAUCCAGAGUUCUGGUGGCUGUGUUGUCUCACUGAGGGUGACAUUACACUGCAUAUCAAAAGAUGCUCCAGGAGAAUCAGAGGUAGAAUGUGGGUAAAGAAAAGAGCCUAGAGUGGAGGCUGGCGGAAAGGCAGUAGCAUAGAAACAUGUUAGGACUCUGGCUGCCUUGCUAUAGGACAAAGGUACUGCUGACCUUUCCUGGUUACCCUGUUAUCUUUGCUGUCUUUGCUGAGUUCUUGGCAGUUAUAUUUCUGUGGCAGCCUGUGAAGAUGCUGCCUUUGGAGAGGGUGUUAGCCUCUCCUAGAAGCUCUCCACCCCAACCAGAACCAUCUACUCUGCGGUCAAAAGAUACAGUACAGCAGGAAGAACCUGGCCAGCAGGAGGAACCCAUCCAGCAGGAAGGACUCAUUAAGCAACAAGAACCUAGCCAGCAGGAGGAAUGCAGGAGGCAGGAUGAACUCAUCCGGAAAGAAGAACCCAUCCAGCUGCUGGAAACUAGUCAGAGGGAAGAACUCAGUGAGCAGCAAGAACCUAGUCAACAGGAUGAGCCCAGUCAAGAGGAAGAGUCUGUCCAACUGCAAGAACCCAGCCAGUGGGGAGAACCUGGCCAAAAGGAUGUACCCAUGCAGCAGGAAGAACCUAUGCAGCAGGAUGAGCCCAGCCAGUGGGAAGAACCCAUGCAGCAAGAUGAACCCAUGCAGCAGGAAGAACUCAUGCAGCAGACAGAGCCCAUUGAACAGGAUAAGCCCAUCCAACAGGAAGAACUCACCCAGCAGGAGGAGCCCAUUCAGCAGGAUGCUUCCAUCCAACGUGAACUCAUUCAUCAGGUGAGGCCCAUCCAGAAGGAAUUGAUUCUGCGGGAGGAGUUCAUUCAGCAGGAUAAGUGCACCCAAAAAGAAGAAUUUAUUCAGCAAGAGAAGCCAAUUCAGCAGGUAAGGUUCAGUGAACAGGAGGAACCCAGCCAGCAGGAGGAAUCCAGCCAGCAGGAGGAAUCCAGCCAGCAGGAGGAGCUCAGUCAACAGAAGGAGUCUAGCCAGAAGGCUCAACCAUACCAACAGGAGGAACCCAGCCAACAGCAAGAGCCUAGCCAGAAGGAUCAACCCAGCCAGCAGGAGGAACCCAGCCAACAGCAAGAGCCUAGUCAGAAAGAUCAACCCAGCCAGCAGGAGGAGCUCAGCCAACAGGAAGAGCCUAGCCAGAAGGAUCAAUGCAACCAACAGGAGGAACCCAGCCAACAACAAGAGCCUAGCCAGAAGGAUCAACCCAACCAACAGGCAGAACUCAGCCAACAGGAAGAGCCUAGCCAGAAGGAUCAAUGCAACCAACAGGAAGAGCCUAGCCAGAAGGAUCAAUGCAAACAACAGGAAGAGCCUAGCCAGAAGGAUCAACCCAACCAACAGGAAGAGCCUAGCCAGCUGAAGGAAACAGAAACCAUCACUGAGAGAUCUGCUGCUGACCUCGAGUUUUCCCGCCUCCGCUUCCGGGAGUUUGUCUACCAGGAGGCAGCUGGGCCUCACCAGACUUUGGCCAGGCUUCAUGAGCUAUGCCGCCAGUGGCUGAGGCCCGAGGCCUGCUCCAAAGAGCAGAUCCUGGAGCUGCUCGUUCUGGAGCAGUUCCUGGGCAUCUUGCCAGACAGGGUCCGUCCCUGGGUGGUAGCCCAGUAUCCCGAGAAUUGCAAGAAAGCUGCCUCCCUGGUGGAGGGUAUCUCUGACAUCCUGGAGGAGCCAGGUGAGGCUGCCACCCCAGAAGAAAGCAUGCCUUAGAGGAGACGGGCAGGAGGUCCUGGAAGGAUUGGAAUCUGCAACAUAGAGUUCAGACCCCAGCCGUGGCUUUCCUGAGAGUGUAGUCACCCCAUGUGUUAAGGGGCACAGAGACAACCAUCCCUGAGCUGGUAAGGGAGCCCCUCAGUCACCAGGGACCCAAGCCCCCUCCUCCGUGCCCAGUGGCAUUUCUAUCAGGCUUGCCUCAUGGACUAGGGCACUCACUGCCUUGGGUUCCUGCCCUCACAUUUGCUUUCCAGAUGUUUGGAGGGCAAUCAAAGGCAGGUACCAGGCUCUUAAAAACUAGGUAAAUAUUCUGGAUGGAUUGGUAGCUGGAGGUUUUCUCUGUAUCUAAGGGUGGGGCCUGAGAGAUGGGUGGUGAUGGUCUCUAGCCUAGAGGCUCAGGCCAUACUUUGGGUCCAUAUCUGGCCCUUUGUGGAUUUGCUGUGUCUCAACCUAUUGGAAUUACUAUUGCCUUGAUUGUACACAGGAAUGAUGUUGUGUUCCCCGGGUGGGUCAUCAUCGUCAUUCAGCGAGGGAGACUAUGAGAGGUGUCCUGAGCCCCUGCUGCUACCAUGUGGGUUGCUAAGUCCUAACAGAAACUUAAGACCUAGGGACAUCCUGGUACGCCGUGAUACUUGUAAGUAGCAGCGAUCAUCUUGCCGUGGCUGACCUUCACUGAGGAGGUACAUGGGGUGUGCAGUUGGGAAAGGGAGGAUGUGCUUGGUGGAGGCAGCAUGAAAGCCAGCGGGAAGUCAAGUAGCAAGGCAUGGAUGUCUGAAUCAUAGUUGGGACUUAUUUCUGUAGAUUCUUGUAUAUAUUAGAUAUGCAUUUUUUUUCUCAAUUUGCUUUACAAAAUUUGUCAGCCGUACAUGGGUAUCAACCAAGAAAUAAUGUCAUUGUGGAUAUAAUUCAAUGCCAGCGUACGAUGCUUGCCAUUAGCAGCAUGAGGCUAGAAGUCAAACCCUCACCCUCUACUGCCAAAAAUUAUUUUUCUCCUUACCCUAUGGUAGAGUGUCUUAGGGUUUUACUGCUGUGAACAGACAGAUACCAUGACCAAGGCAAUAUUGUCUUAUAAGGACAAUAUUUAGUUGAGGCUGGGUUACAGGUUCAGAAGUUCAGUCCACUAUUGUCAAGGCAGGAGCAUGAGAGUGUCCAGGUAGGCAUGGUGUAGGAGGAGCUGAGAGUUCUACAUCUUCCAUUUGAAGGCUGCUAGGAGAAGACUGGCUUCUAGGAAGCUGGGAUGAAGGUCUUAAAGCCCAUAACCACAAUGGCAAACUUCCUCCAACAAGGCCACACCUCCUAAUAGUACCACUCACUGAGCCAAGCACAUUCAAACCUUUAUAUAGAGCAUGUCCUUUCGUGUCUUUCUGUACAUCAUAUAUGUGUACAGAAGGUCUGUGGGACCAUGGUGUACUUGUGCCCUCUCAUUUGUUAUUCAAAUAGGGCAGCUGUGGUCAAAGUUUUGGUUCCUCAGCUGCUCAGCAUUCUGUAUACUCAGUCUUUCUGUUUUGCUUUUUAAAAUAGGCUACAGUAUCCUGGCCUUACUGUUGCACUCUAGCGUGUGUGACAUGGUUUCCUAACAACCACUGGCCAGAGGGCACAUACACUUUAACAUUCCUGUGAUUAUUUAAAACCUUUGUGAUACACUGCAAACCAGCAUAGAAUGGUGCCCACUGUUUGUUAUUUAACAUUUCUACCAAUCUAGUUGGCACAAAAAAUAAGUCCUUGCUUCGUGAUCUGAGUUGGCCUUUCUGGGUCACUGAUAAGCUUGAAUGUCUUUAUGGUUUUUUACUUUUGUGUGCACCCUGGUUUGUCAAUUGCAGACAAAUAGAGUGUUCAUUGCGCUUUGGAACCUGUGUGUGCGGGACGAGUUUUUCUACAUUUGUCCUGGGGCCUCUCUGGGAGGGUGUGGGAUAUACUUAUUUUUGGAGUUACAUAGCCACUGAGAACUUGUUUCCUCAGCUCCCCUUCUACCAGCUUGGCCUACUCUGGAAUCUGUGCAUUUGGAUCAAGAGCGUACAGAGGGAGAAAAGAGUAAAGAGGCCAACGCUGCCACAGCUGAGCUGAAGGGGCCUCUACAGUCGGAAUGGGACCACCUGGAUCCCACAGAGGAUAACCUGACGAGUUACAGCAAGCUGCUCCUGUGGGGUGAGACCCACUUCCCACUGGCUCACGUUCCACCCUGCAUCCUCUUCCAGAACUGUUGGCAUGGAGGAUUCUGACCCUGUCCCAGGAACUGUAGUUGGGACACCAAGGGGUGUCAGUUUUCCCAGGCUGGUCCAACUUCCAUGCUGGAGACAGAGGAACCUUGUGCGGUGGAAAACCUGCCAGGGGGCAGCCUCCCAGACAGCACCAGGCAGCAGGAAAGCAAAGGAAAUGUGUGUGAGGAAGUCUCCCUGGGGGAGACACUGAUGGAGAGUCUUUCAGGGGAUGUUCCUGUUAGUGCUUCAAUAGAUACUGCCCUGGAGGAGGAACAGCAACCUCAGAAGGCUCUGGAUGCCGAGGGUGAAGAUUCAAGCCCUGCCAGUCCCCAGAGGCAAUCAGUCAUCCAGCAGUCAGCCCAGGACAAGGAUAGGCCACAUCAAGGCACUGGGACAAAGAGGCCCCAUCCAGAUGACGAGGAUGAAAUGGCCCCUGAGUGUCUUUCCAGCACCAGCAGCUACCAGCUGCCAUUUGAUGCAGGGAAAGUGCUUCAUGUGGAUGGUCAUGAUUCUGGGCAGGACUCAGGAACUUCUGCUGGGGGAUGCUCUUCAGCUGAUAAGUCUGAUGCAUCUCAAGGGAAGCCCUACACAUGCAGUGAAUGUGGGGAGGCCUUUGCAUGGAUCUCCAACCUUAUGGAGCAUCACAAGAGUCAUGGCAGUGAGACAUGCUAUGUGAGCCAGGGCUGCUAGGAACCCUUCCAGUUCUGCUUGCUUGUGGUCAAGCACCACAAGAAUCACAUACAAAAAACCAAAACAAAGCCACACUCAGAGCCCUUCUCUGCCAGAAGCAAAACUCACUGGUGGGAGAAUUGGCAGCUUCUAAUGUGUGGGUGGUUUUCUUUAUACGACCUGAGGUAUAAGGCUAAGUAGCUCUGCUAUGACUGUCCCAUGACAUGACAGUUGUAGCAUGAGUGACCCUAAGGCUCAUGUGUGGUAGUGGAUUCUUGAGGUAUUUCUACAGGCAUAUCUGUGAUUAUUUUCUGGAUGCUAAUGUGCUGAAAAGAACUGGAAAGGGGCAGGGCCCUCAUCUUAAAAACACACUUUGGUCUGAUGUUAUAUUCUGUAAACCAUCAGAUGUGAGGGAAGACUCCAUUUCUGCAGUAUUUUAAUACCACUUAUACUCUGGUCAUUUGACAUUGCACAAAGUGUUGAGUUGCCUUAAAUGUGAUCUAUUGGCGCUUUCUUGAGCCCUCCUUGCCUCAGUUGCUUCCCUGUUUGUUCACACAUAAUUCUUGCCAUCUAUUCUGGCCUUUUCAUAGGUACGUGAUAACAGGUUUACUUCAGAAUCCUUAAGAGCAAAAGCUGUUUCUUAGUUCAAGUCAUGUCUUCAUAUGUGGAGUGGCUUGCAAAGAUCACAGAAUAUGCCGACUUCAGACUGGGUUUCAGCCCGUUAGUGAGUUGUGAGGUCCAGUCAGUGGAUGGCCACUGAGAUUACAGAACAGCGAAGUGGAAUAAAAGUAGAUCAGAAUGCAUCCUGUAGUAAAGGCAAAUACUGUUCUGUGAACCUUCUCAGCGGAGCGUCUGAGAGCUGCUACCACAUCAAAUGUAUUUGUUAAGGGGUACAAACAUACAGGUUGAAGAAACGAUCCGAGCUGAGAGAACCAAAUGUGGCCUACAUAGGUGAUCUUGUGGUUUUGCUUUGAACUUCAGAUUACAACAUUGUUUCUAUUGCCUGAACACAAAUGUAAUUGCCCUGCAGAUACAAAAAGGAUGUCUUUUUCUGUCAGUGUCUGAGUAGGCAGUUUGUGUAACCCCCAAAUCAGAGGCUUACCAUAAUAAAGUAUUUAUUUCUUCAUUCAUA